rnacentral:rRNA from 1 species
AAUUUAUUUCGGUAAAUUCUUAGCGGCGAACGGGUGAGUAUCGCGUAGGCAACCUGCCCUUUGGAUGGGGACAACAUUCCGAAAGGAGUGCUAAUACCGAAUGUGAUCCAUUUCUCGCAUGAGAGAUGGAUGAAAGAUGGCCUCUGCUUAUAAGCUAUCGCCAAAGGAUGGGCCUGCGUCUGAUUAGUUAGUUGGUGGGGUAACGGCUCACCAAGACGAUGAUCAGUAGCCGGUCUGAGAGGAUGAACGGCCACAUUGGGACUGAGACACGGCCCAAACUCCUACGGGAGGCAGCAGUGGGGAAUCUUCCGCAAUGGACGAAAGUCUGACGGAGCAACGCCGCGUGAGUGAUGAAGGUUUUCGGACUGUAAAACUCUGUUGUCAGGGACGAAGGUGCGAUCUGCGAAUAGUUGAUCGUAUUGACGGUACCUGACGAGGAAGCCACGGCUAACUACGUGCCAGCAGCCGCGGUAAUACGUACGUGGCAAGCGUUGUCCGGAAUUAUUGGGC